AUUGUCAAGGGCACUAGGACCUGUGGCAGGCAGGUACCACCCUCUGGACUGAGCCUGGCACAGGGGAGGUAGGGGGGAGGCUUCAAUGUGCCCCUCCCCCAUCUUUCUGACUUCCUUCUUCACUGACUCCUACAAGGUUCCUCUGUGUCACAGUGCAGGCUCUGGAAGCCUCUUAGCCCUGGUCACUUGCUUAGGAGACGGGAUGUAACUGGAAUCCCCUUACAGGGCUGCUGGGAGGAGGCAAAGCCAUGGCAGGCAUAGGAAGUGGUGUCUGGGAGGCAGAAUGGCGAUAUUUUACCCACUCCACUCCCCGUCCCCUUCAAGAGUCUCUUCCUGUUUGUUCUCCCAACUUGGGUGCCAAUGUCCUUGGAGGGAAAGGGGAGGGUGGUGCUUACACUUGGUAGGCUCGGCCCCCGCCCCAAUCAUGCUCAUAAGAGAACCAGAUAAGCUGCUGCCUGGAGGACGCAGUCCUGAGAGCAUCCACAGUCUGGCUGCGACCCUGGCCUGUGAGCACCUGAACUUCUUCCUGUCUAGGGAAGGGACAGCUAACAGCGGAAGCCAACGACCUUGGUCUCUAUCCAGGAACAUGGGUCCUGAUGGAGGCUCUGAGCCUGAGUUUCCUACCAGUUGGUCUGAGAAUGAUGUGCCUGCUUGCCCUGGGCAACCUCCCCAUUCGUCUGCUCUACUGAGACAGUGCAGGGCAGAUCCACGUGAGCCAAGGGACAGAGUCUCACCCCAGGCUCUGCUCUACCAUUUCCAGAUGUGGGGCGAGCUCUGUGGGUGGCAGGUCUCGUAUGCCAAUCUCAUCAUGUCGGUGUGUUUCUGACAAGCAAGCACACCUUUUAUAAUAUUAAGAAAGAUGAAUAAAGAUUGAUUUAAAAUUGC